AGUUUAUCUGAUAGCAAAAGGAAUCCAGACGAUCAGGAAGAAGGACGAGAAUGAAAGUCUGCAGAGAACUGGACGAUGACAGAGAUGGAAAAUAGCCUCAGGUGUUUGGAGGAGGUAUGAGGUGGAGAUUCCUUAAAUGUUGUGGAUGCAUUGUCUCGCUCACCUCUUAAUUCAUUUAUUUUUCUCUUGUGUUUUGUUACCCCUCCACUGUUUCUGCUUCAUUUCCUCUUAAAAUGCUUCGGAGGAUCCAAGUUGCUGAGGUUUGAGGUGGUUGGAGUUGGAGUGGGUGACAUUGUAUGUUGGUUGGAAAAGAAAAAAAACAAGAGAACUGGUUUGCAGUCUUCCAUGUUUUUUUUCUUUUGUUAUUAUUCUUAAUAAUUUGGUCUGAGUGUUUAGUUUUUUUUUAAAUAACCUUGUGGGUUCUUUCUUUUAUGGUGGGGGGUUACGACCCCGGCCUUACCCUCUUCCAGGCCUGUGUGUUUGUGUAUGUUUUCUCCUUUUUGUUAGCAGGUCCUGGUUGAGUUGGAGUCUCCACCCUUUGGGCGGGCCUGGCCAGUCUAACAGAGGGUAUCAAAGCUGCUGGGAGUCAUGGUGUUGUCCCUCCCACCUGGUAGAUGAAGCUGCAGCCUGUCCAACCCUCCAGGAUUUAUCUUUAGUUUAAUUACAUAUGUGUUAAAAUAAACCUUUGGUUAAGUCUUUCCCAGUCUCCCUCUUGUUCGUCAUGACUUAUUCGAUCCGUCGUGACACCAGGAAAUAGUCAGACCCCUCGCUUCAUUAGGAGUUUCAGAGUCAGUAGAUGACAGGAGUUCAUGUCACGUCUGGAAGAAGGAAAAUGGAAGCAGAAGGUCAUGUGACCUCGCCUUCGUUCAGUUCUACUGUCACUGAGAUCAACAAUUUGACAGCUUGAAGCUCCGCCCCUCCUCUCAGCCGCUGUCAGGUUUUCCUCAGAUCUGCUCUCAGCAGCUUCAUCACUGAUUGAGUUCAGGACGACUCUCACUCUGACAUCAACAUCUCCACCUGCUGCCCCGCCCACCUGUGCUGCCCCGCCUCCAUCCCAGGUGGACUCUUUCUUCCUGGUUCAGUCAGUGAUGUGUGCUGCAGCUGCGUUGACUCGGUGAAGGCUGGAAGAAGGUGUGUGUGAGCUGAUCCUGUGGAUCCAGUCAAUCCAGCAGCAUGGAUCGGUGGGAGGAGACACGGGAGGGAGCCCCUCCCUCUAAAAGCACUCUGUGUGGGAAAGAUGACAACCAGAGCAAAGCUCAGAGUCUUCACAGGAACCAACCUGGAUCUGGAUCCAGCUGUGUGUACUUCAGGAGUGACUGGUCAAAGGGUUACAUUCCUAACUUCAAAUACAUCAUCUCAGCAGUGAAACA